rnacentral:lncRNA from 1 species
AGGUGUAGUUUAUGGGAUGUUUCUGAUAAACUGUAGGUUUCCAUUUGAUUGGAAGGCUGUACAGGUGGUUUGGGAGAUGCGCAGUGUUGCCCAACGUCACACUCGGUGGUGGUAUAAAAUCCCCUGGGUUUGUCCUCCAGUCAUUUAUCUUGAGAAAAUACGAAGGCAGGAAAGCUACAUUACGCGCAAUUGUUGCUGUGAAGAACCCGAUAACAAGAUGACUAAAAUUGUGUUGGCUUACAUUGGGUUCCUUCUCCUUGCCAUGCAUUUUUCGUCACAGAUCCACGCGCAAAACACUACCACACAGUCCCCUGCCAUGAAUGCUACGACCAGAGCUGGCGGUGCGAGUUCCAACAUGACCAAGAUGCCCGACGUCACCAAGAACAACAUUGCCAAAGGAGCCAGUGCAUCUUUGCAGUCCAGCUCGGUUGUGCUCAUCAUACCCAUCAUGGUGGGGGGCUCACUACAGGGGCGCUUCUAGAGGGCUGUUGAGCAGUGAACAGACACCAGCAAGACUUCAACAUCAGCGGCCUAGAUGGGGCAAACUGUUCGACCAAGAUCACAUUUAAAAAAUAAUAUUCAGGAAGGCAGUCAUGUUUGCACCUAACCGAAUAGAUUCGAGGGAGUUGCGUGCUGUACCAGAACCCAUUUCUACUUCAAUGAUUGGAAUUGUUAUUUGCCCUCACACCUUCAAACCAUUAGGCCUUCACACCUCGCACACUGACCCCAUGCCCAAAGGCCGAACUGUACGGUCCUCUCCAUGGAGGCAGUCCAUGAUGAGUAUGUACUGUACGGAACUCUGCUCUUUGAACCGUUUGGUCCCGCUGUUCCUGUGUAGACACCAGGGGGUAGUUUAGUAAUUUGUUAAGAAGUUAACAUAUCUAAAGAAAUGUUGGUUGAGGCACUUUGAAAAUAAGGUAUAAAUGAAUCUGUGGCAUUUCUGCACCUGCAGUGAGUACUUUGUCAGAGGCUUGAUGUACACUUGUGAUUUAUUUCUAGAAAUGGAAUUGUGAGAUAGCAUGUGAGAUUUAAUUGUAUGAAUCAUGAUGUGAUAUGCGUAGAUUUGUUUUUUAAGGCCAGGUUCAAUAAACCUUUAAAAUGUAGGAUACUUGUGAGAAUUUAUUUGUAUAAUAAAAAUAUUUUAACAAUGUUUCUUCUCCUGUCUCUAAAUUCUAAAGCUUGACCUGACAAGUAAUUUGCUCUGUUCCACUUGUGUCCAGCCCCUUUAUUGAUCACAUGGCUAAACCCAGGGAUUUCCUUAACGUAGACUAGGUGUGAUGUGCCACAAAUUAAAUCCUUAUUUUAGAAUGGGGUAUAGGAAUGUUCACCUUUGGCCAGUUGUAGCAUUUAUGCUAUGUCAACUAGGACCUUUCUUGCAUUCCUUGUGGCCAAAACAGUUCAGUUUCCUGACAGUUGACUCACUUGCAGGCUGCUUUAAUUAGAUUUACUUUACCCUAGCUACAUUGACCUGUGACCAGUCCAUUUACUAACUAGCCUACAAAGAUGUUCAGGGGAAGGCUGGCUGUAAAGUAUAUUUGACCUAACACUAGUUUCUUGACACUGGGUCUUGCUGGUUGGCUCUCAGCCAAAGGGAUGGUUAACUUUUUAGACUUAUCAUCCCAUAACUCUAAGCCAGGGGUUUUAAACUAUAUUGCAUGGUUUAUAAGGUCAUACCAAGGUCAAUUUUCCUGUUUUAACAACUCCCUUGACUCAACUAAUGUAAUUAUUUGUGACGAGCCCAUAGUUUGUUCUGUCUGUCCAAGCUAGACCUGAGAGAUCAGGAUACUUUUCUGGAACUAAGUCUAUUCAACUGAUACUGUGGGACCUUCAAGCGAUGUUUGAGUCUGACCUUUCCAGAAGAGUUGUAGUGUGUAGACUUCAUAUGCAACAGACUCAUUAGAGGCUGUUCAGACUAGUCCCAAGAUGGUUGUAGAGAAACUGAAUGUGUUCGCUAGUGAAGUGAGUAGACUGGUUUUUGAGAUAUCUCAUGGUCUUACUAACACACCUUACACAGGCAGAUGUGGUGGAUUGAGAUGCAUCCAAUGCAAAAAAAACAUCUUAAACUGACUUUUGUGGGGAUUUAAUGCUAAUUGACCUAAGGGGGUUUGAACUGAUGCUGUAGAUUGGUCAUUCUCAAUUUGUUUUUGGGGCUUACCUGUUUGGCAUUAAUGUGUCACAUCAGUUUGUAAAAAAAAAAAAGGAUUAAAGCUGCAUACAAACAUGGUCUCUUUUGCUUUCUU